rnacentral:misc_RNA from 1 species
AGUGGCAUGGAUUUGGUAAUAUGCAGUUAUUGCAGAGCAUGAAAUAUUUUAGAUUUGGUGUAUGAAAUCAUAGAAUGGGUUGAGGAUUUAGAGUUUGAAAAUAGUCAGAAAAUUUUAGUAUGUAGCGGUAUAAGUUUGAAAAAGGUUUUUAGGCAAAGUUGCUGGAUUUUCAAGAUAGACUCAUAAUAAGGGUAAUUCCACCAUUUUUAUUAGUGAUAAUCAGUCUGAUCAUUGCAUCCCAACGCGUAAUGACUGGCAAGCCAUUCAUAAAUCUUUUAUUGAAGUCUUUUUAUUUGGCUUUAGUUAAUAUAUGAAAUAAAGCAUAGAGCCCCUUGCAAUAUAUAUUCUUGGGUGGUAUGCUUGUCCAUUCAGCAUUCAUCACUUAGUGAACACUUUCUUAUUUGUAGGUGGCAGCAGCUUCUCAUUAA